CUACGAAGGGUGCAAGCGUUAAUCGGAAUUACUGGGCGUAAAGCGCGCGUAGGUGGUUCGUUAAGUUGGAUGUGAAAGCCCCGGGCUCAACCUGGGAACUGCAUCCAAAACUGGCGAGCUAGAGUAUAGCAGAGGGUGGUGGAAUUUCCUGUGUAGCGGUGAAAUGCGUAGAUAUAGGAAGGAACACCAGUGGCGAAGGCGCCCACCUGGGCUAAUACUGACACGGAGGUGCGAAAGCGUGGGGAGCAAACAGGAUUAGAUACCCUGGUAGUCCACGCCGUAAACGAUGUCGACUAGCCGUUGGGAUCCUUGAGAUCUUAGUGGCGCAGCUAACGCAUUAAGUCGACCGCCUGGGGAGUACGGCCGCAAGGUUAAAACUCAAAUGAAUUGGCGGGG
rnacentral:rRNA from 1 species